CUAACAUAAUUGACAGAGUGAAAAGAAGGAAGCCUGUACAGAAUAACAAAUAGCAGGACAAUAACCUAAAACACUGGAUUUGCUUACCUGAGUGACCGAGUAACAGUUUUGACUUAAAACUACUUGAAAAUCUAUGGCUUUAACACAACAAAAUGUGGAAUAAGUCGAGGGCUCCCAUUCCUUGACCAGGUUCACUGAUGGUGACAGAAGGAUCAGGUAACCUCAGUGUAUCAUUCUCACUCAGUGACCGGCCCGGUGACCGGCCCAGUGGAUACAGAACUCAUACAGCAUACAGUUUGAGUUAGGGCCAACGUAUGUGCUCUCUUCGAGCAAGUUUGAGCAGAAUCUGUUACAUUUUAUGUUCUCCAGCAUUCAGUUAUGAGAAAUGAGUUCAGAGUGAAGUAAACCAUCUCUGCCAAUGGUUAUGGUUGAGUGAAUGACAGACUACGGCUGUUCUCCAUCUGUAAGCAAGAGCAUGACCUCUCAGUGUCACGUGGGACAGAAAGAGAGAGAGAGGCAAUGACAAAAAAAAUUAAACAAUGUUUUUCCCUAGUUAUUGUCUUUAACUGGGGCCCAGAGCUUUUCCAGCUCAGAUCGUAUGAUCAGAAAAAAACUCAAGCCCCUAAAGAUGACUGAGGCAUAAAACUAGAGUUCUCUGCCCUCAGUGAUGGACUUACAAUUAAGCAGAAAAGGCAAUUGCCUCAGACUUCACAUCAUCAAGGGGGCUCGUGAGCUGGGCAUAAGAAAAAAAUACUAGUAAUACAUUUUUUUUUUUUAUUCUCCACUUGAGGCCCCCCAACCCCUCCUCCCACGACAAACGAACCGUUGUCAUGGGCUGCUUAGCUCAUCGCUAUCGUAACCCUUGGUUCAACAGGUUGGUUCAGCAAGUUGGUUCAGCAGCAGCAAAAUCUUCAGGAAGCUUCAAAUUUGCAAAGGACAUGGGGAGGGAGGGUGUGUUUGCCUGGCCAGUGUGCUAAAAAAAAAAAGAAUUCAUAGACCUGUUGUCUGAAAACUUCACGAAAAUAAUUAGCGUGCAUCAAUGUGGCCGGAAGCUGUGCUUUGUUAUGAUUCUGAACGGUUAGAACCAGUAGCUAGCAGUAAUGACAAGAAACUGCCAUACGGGGAAUUGUAGGUGGCUCGUUUCAGCUAGUUUUAUCUUGUUCUUGAUGUUUCAGCUAGUUUUGAUCUUGUUCUUGAUAUCAUCUCCUGUUUUGAGGUGCUUUGGCUGAUUUCAUGUCAAUGCUAAUAUGGCAAAAAAAAAUCCCUAGCUAGCUAACCAACAACUGUAACAAUGUAUUUAAGAGACAACAAGUGUUCAUUGUGCAAAUGUGUUUAUGUUUUCAAUAAACAUUUUGAGACUAAAUCUACAACAU